rnacentral:tRNA from 1 species
UCCCCGAUAGCUCAGUUGGUAGAGCAGAUGGCUGUUAACCAUCGAGUCGUAGUCGGGGAG